rnacentral:rRNA from 1 species
GCGACCCCAGGAUGGGCGAGGCCACCCGCUGAGUUUAAGCA